rnacentral:tRNA from 1 species
GGAAACAGAACUCGGUUGGUUAGAGUGUCUCCCUUUUAAGGAGAAAGUCAGUGGUUCGAUUCCACUUGUUUUCA